AGAGUCUCAACAUCCUUUUUACAUUGUGGUGACCAAACUGGAUGCAGUAUUCCAAGUGUGACCUUACCAAGGAAUGAGGUUAUCCAUUUUAUUUUCUCCUGCUGAAGCAAGAGAAGAAGAUGCGGAAAGACACAGUCACCCUUCAGGUCAAGCUGAUGGAACAUUUACAGCAACACCAAAGCAACAGAAGGAGACGCUGAAACACACAUACACACCAACUCAAGAUGUUUACAUAGAUUUAUAUUCUAAAAUCUUGGGUCCAGGUCUAUGAAACAGAGGUCUUCAUUUCCAGCUUUGAAAGCUACCAAAUACAUUUGAUCAUUAAUAUGUAAGCAGCUAUGUUUUGAUCCUGAAUCACGUAAGAAAUUAACACCGUGGAAUAACCUAAUUCUGAAAGCAGCAGGAAGAAAUGCUUUACUGAAAUGGUUGGACUAAACAAGGAGCCAAUGCUUUAGAUCGGUUGGUUUUUAAUGAUGGUUUUAAUGUCUUUGAGACAUUAAAGUUACCUGAAGUUACCUGAAGUUACAUUGAAGUUACCUGCCUACAGUUUGCAUUUUGCAAUAUACAUCACUGAAAUAUGUACUAAUGAAACGAUAUGGCACAGGGGCUUUUGCAUCCCCAGAGAGUCUUGUAAAUUCUAAGGUCCCUAAGACCUGUGGUGCUUGAACUGGUACGAAUAAUUCGAUUUUACAUUAUUAUUGAUUGAUUAAGUGGCACCAAGGAAUGCUUCUAGCAAUCACAUAGCUUUUCCCUGGUAUGACCUUUUUCUAAUUUGUUCCUUCAGGUCUUCCAAUGUUGCACCCUGAGUCUGUACCUGAUUCCAGUCACCUGGCUGUCCUCUUCUUCUCUUUCCUUCUAUCUUUUACAACAUUAGAGCUUGGAUUUCAUAUGGUAGUAUAAAGUUAAAUGAUGGUUAACAUUAGUUACAUCUCUGUGGGUUCUAGAAUGAAAAAUUGGAAUAUCCAGACAAUGAGUCUGGCAUUAAGUUAACUUACAAUUAACUUAAAAUUUUAAAAUGAAAUUAUUUCACCUGGAAAUAUUAGUUUGCGUUUACAAGACACCUCCUCCCCAAAAAUUGUUUAAAAAGGAAUGGAGAUUAGAUUUUAUUUUUCUGUGUGUUGGUAUUGUAUGGCAUAAAAAGAGUGAAGUUCCUGCCAUUCAUAUGAUCUGGUCUUGUUACAGAUUCCCUGGUCAUGUCAUAAAGGAUGCCGGCAUGCCAUACAAACUCAUCAGCACAAUAAGGUUUUGCAUAACUGUAUUGGAAAGCCCAUACAUUAAUCAUGAGUGUCACCAAAGGUGGUAUUAAAAAAAAAAGUCAAGAUGGCAGUGAAAAUUCAUCAAUUGAAACUCUUCCUGUUUCUUAUCUUUAUUGCACUAAUGGUGCUCCAUUAAACUGCUCCGAUUUCUUG